rnacentral:rRNA from 1 species
AGAGUUUGAUCCUGGCUCAGGACGAACGCUGGCGGCAUGCUUAACACAUGCAAGUCGAACGAGAAAGCUUCUUCGGAAGUGAUUAAAGUGGCGCACGGGUGAGUAACGCGUAGACAAUCUGCCCUUCAGUCCGGGACAACUUUCCGAAAGGGGAGCUAAUACCGGAUAACAAUGUUUAACAUAAGUUGAAUAUUUGAAAGCUCCGGCGCUGAUGGAUGAGUCUGCGUCCCAUUAGCUUGUUGGUGCGGUAGCGGCGCACCAAGGCCACGAUGGGUAGCGGGUUUGAGAGGACGAUCCGCCACACUGGAACUGAGACACGGUCCAGACUCCUACGGGAGGCAGCAGUGGGGAAUAUUGCACAAUGGAGGCAACUCUGAUGCAGCAAUGCCGCGUGAGUGAAGAAGGCCCUUGGGUCGUAAAGCUCUUUUAUGGGGGAAGAUGAUGACGGUACCCCAAGAAUAAGCACCGGCUAACUACGUGCCAGCAGCCGCGGUAAUACGUAGGGUGCGAGCGUUGUUCGGAAUUACUGGGCGUAAAGGGCGCGCAGGCGGAGGUGCAAGUCGGAGGUGAAAGCCCGGGGCUCAACCCCGGAGGGUCUUUCGAAACUGCAUCUCUAGAGAGGGUCAGGGGCCGGCAGAAUUCCUGGUGUAGAGGUGAAAUUCGUAGAUAUCAGGAGGAAUACCGGUGGCGAAAGCGGCCGGCUGGGGCCACUCUGACGCUGAGGCGCGAAAGCGUGGGGAGCAAACAGGAUUAGAUACCCUGGUAGUCCACGCCGUAAACGAUGAGCACUGGACGUUCGGAGGGUUCGACCCUUCUGGGUGUUUCAGCUAACGCAUUAAGUGCUCCGCCUGGGGAGUACGGUCGCAAGACUAAAACUCAAGGAAUUGACGGGGGCCCGCACAAGCGGUGGAACAUGUGGCUUAAUUCGAUGCAACGCGAAGAACCUUACCUGGUCUUGACAUCCUCGGACAGCUCCAGAGAAUGGAGUUUCCUCCUUCUGAAGCCGAAUGACAGUGCUGCAUGGCUGUCGUCACCUCUGGUCGUGAGAAGAUUGGGUUAGUCCCGCCACCGAGCGCAACCCCUGCCCUUAAUAUGCUACUCGGUCAAGCCGGCCCUUUAUGGGGACUGGCGGGUGAAAGCCCGAGCGAAAUAGAUAACCUCAAGUCUCUCCCUGGCCUUUUGACAGCUACACGUCAAAUGGGAGUUACAAGGAGUGCUAAACCGAGGCAGUUCAAUUCUAAGACAUUAACU